rnacentral:lncRNA from 1 species
UUGCUCAAGAUUUUACUUUUGAAUGGAUAUUAGAACAAAGAAAUUUGACUCAACAUUUUAUUUACAUAAUUAAUCUUCUAUUCAUAAAAUUGCAGUUAAUAUAUUGCUGAGGGCACAGUCGAGCCACACAUAGUGGCUAUGCAUAGUGCAUAAUACACAUGGGCACGGCGACGGCGGCGACGGCAAUGGCGGUAGAUCUACAGGAAGAAGGAUCAUGAGAGAGAGAGAGCUGAAGAGAGAGAGAGAACCAUACCUAAGAUCUCAAGAGAGAGGGAGAG